AUGACUACUGGAUCAUCGGUCUACUCUACCUCAAUUCACCACUUCGAACUUUAUACAGAAGGUUUUUCCGUACCAGCUCCUACUACCUAUACCGUAGUUGAAGCACCUAAAGGUGAAGUUGGUGUAUUUCUUGUCAGUAAUGGGAGUAAUCAUCCCUACCGUUGUAAAAUAAGAGCACCUGGCUUUGCCCAUUCACAAGGACUUGAUUCUAUGUCCAAACAUAGGUACUCAAGAUAUUGUGUUUGGAGAGGUAGAUAG
rnacentral:rRNA from 1 species